rnacentral:misc_RNA from 1 species
UUGUGCUAUAUUCAGAUAUAGGUAUCCCGAGUGGUCUUCAUGUCUCUCUGCCCAAUGAUGGACAAUGAAAGUUAGUGGAAUGGUUGCUAGGUUGUUCACUGGGGGCAUUUUUUGCCAUCUUUACCUUACUAUCAGCAUUACUAUAACCUCUCUCUCUCUCUUUUUAUCUAUCUAUCUAUCUAUCUGUAAGGAGCCGCAAAGGUUUUGUUUUCUUAAUUGUCUAGUAAACUGCUCGGUGAUGAUAACUCAUUACACAGAGUGGUGACAUUGUUUUUCAGUGCAAGCCUCCGCUAUCUCUUGCUGCCCCUCUUAUCAUUUGGCUGGAGCUAAUUCAGCAUCUUCUUUUUCUUCUUCUUCUUUUUAUUGUUAUUAUUAUUAUUAUUAUUGGUGGCGGUGGUGGUGGUGGUGGUGUUUCCAUUAUCAUUUUGAGAGGCGAGGAGGCUUUAAAUGAAAAACAAAGGCUUCACCAACUAUGAUUUGUUAUAGCUAUGAGAUCUGAGGGCAG